rnacentral:rRNA from 1 species
ACGAACGCUGGCGGCGUGCUUAACACAUGCCAGUCGAACGGAAAGGCCCUGCUUUUGUGGGGUGCUCGAGUGGCGAACGGGUGAGUAACACGUGAGUAACCUGCCCUUGACUUUGGGAUAACUUCAGGAAACUGGGGCUAAUACCGGAUAGGAGCCCCUGCUGCAUGGUGGGGGUUGGAAAGUUUCGGCGGUUGGGGAUGGACUCGCGGCUUAUCAGCUUGUUGGUGGGGUAGUGGCUUACCAAGGCUUUGACGGGUAGCCGGCCUGAGAGGGUGACCGGCCACAUUGGGACUGAGAUACGGCCCAGACUCCUACGGGAGGCAGCAGUGGGGAAUAUUGCACAAUGGGCGGAAGCCUGAUGCAGCAACGCCGCGUGCGGGAUGACGGCCUUCGGGUUGUAAACCGCUUUCGCCUGUGACGAAGCGUGAGUGACGGUAAUGGGUAAAGAAGCACCGGCUAACUACGUG